UUGGAAGUCACCAAACAUUUUCAACAGUGUCAUGUUGGAAGAGGCGAGAUCGGCACUACCACCAAUAAGUCCGGGAAGUACUUUUGCAAGUGCAUUUAGGCAUUGCUGAGAUAGAUUCCGUGUAGCAUCAGCGGGACUUUCGGGCGUAUAUGUCGGAAGCGCCUUCUCCCAUCCAGCAGGCAGUUCUCCAGAAAUGAUCGCCUUCAACUCAGCAGCCUCUUCUUUAUACUUUUUCUUGUAUGCAGCGUACUUAGAAUUCCAUUCUGCUUCCAAGCCAGCACCUUCAGGGAUAUGGCGG
rnacentral:misc_RNA from 1 species